rnacentral:lncRNA from 1 species
GGGUAGGCAGCUUCUAUAAGGACACAGUCCAACAAUAUUUUCUUCUGUUAGACGUACAGAAGCAUUGUUUACGGCCUCUUCACAGAAUGAAGUGGCAGCUGGGAAAAAAAAAAAGGACAAAACAAACGCCAUUUCCUUCAUUUCAUUCCCAUCAGCCUUUCCACUUGAAAUUGGGAACCCUAGAAUCACCCUUCCUUCAACCUCUGAUCGGCGCCACCAUCUUCUCAACCUCAGACCGGCGAUUUUAAAUGUGGCCAGAUCUGCAAACACCGAACACACACUGAAAUCAUGUCUUUCAUCUUCACCACCGUCCACAAACGUCGCAUUCUUGGUCGACUCAGUCCACAACAGCCAGGUAUCUUCACCUUUGUUUACAAACGCCAAUUGAUUUCCACCGUCGAUGAUAAAACUCAGUCCACAGCAACAAUAUUCUUUGUGAAAUGUUGUGAAAAAGGAAGUUGUGAAAAUUGCGAAAAAGGUAAGUCUCUAUCCCAGCUAUAAGUUGUGAAAAUUGUGAAAAAUGAUGAAAAAGGUUUUGAAGGACUAUUUGCAGCUUGUUUAAUAUCCAAUUUUUGUGAGAAUUAAACAAAUUCCUUAUUCUCCAUAAAUUGUGAAAAACGUUUUGAAACUUGUUGAAUAUGUAAUUGUUGUGAGAAACUGGUGUAAUUCACUUUCUCUAUAAAUUAUUGUGGGAAAUUAGUAGAAUGGCAAUCUUACAGUUUUGUUUGAUUUCCGUCCAGGAUGAGACAAGAAAAUGUUGGGCGUUUUUUAUGGUUGUAGGAGCUCCGAGCACUUCUUCAAUGACUGUCCAAUAAAAUGAGGAUGUCCAUGGUGUCUACUGGGAUGGGAGAAAUGUUUUGAAGUUGAGAGGAAGAUUGAUAACCAAGGAAAAUUAUUCAAAGCAUGCAGCAAAUUUUGUGGAUAUUUCCAUUAGGUCAAGACGGACGAAUCAUGUGGUGAAUCGUAUAAGGAAUGAAGCAGUGGAUCCCAAAUUGUGAAAAAACUUUCUAACAGUCAUUAACUUGCUGUAUUUUAUCAUUUUUCUGCUAUUUCUCUCAAAUUGUGGAGUCCAGUCAACCAUUUUGACACUUGUAAUAUGAAAAAACUUACUAACAGUCUUUAACUUGUAAAUGGAUACUACAAUUUUGGUUGCUAUUAGUUCUUUGUUGCUUAAAUUGCGUAAAUGGAUACUAUAAUUUAUUUAUUUAUUAUUAUUAUUAAUUUUUUUUUUUACUGGGGAUGCCUGCACAUUAUGCUCCAAAGUUGCACAAGAAAAAUUGAAGAAAAAAGCUAGAGAAGAAAGUGAAGCUGCUCGGUUGGGAAAGGGAUGCCUACACAUUACCGUGUGUGUAAGACAACUCUCGAGUGGACUGGAGAAGAGAGUGAAGCUGCUCGGUUGGGAAAGGAAAUCAGCUGCUAGAGUGGUUGGAGAAGAGAGUGACAGUCGCCCGAACAGUCGAUGCUCAGCUCCGGUGCUCCUGAGGUCGGAGAUGAAGUGGAGCAGCUUAUUUUUCCCUCGUUUUCUUUAGGGCUUCCAGCUUUUGGGGAUAAUGAAAUCAGCUUUGGCGGGUUAUUAGGUAAAACAAAGAUUUCCCUCUUUUUCUCCUACCACAUCAUUAUUUUUUUGAAAUUCUGUAGGCAUUCUUUGAGAUAAAAUCUGUACAUCUAGCUUUUUUCUAUUUUCAUUUGGGUUGUCUGUAAUGAACUUGAUGGCUUUGAAGAUUUUUCCAACCUUCUGUUGAAUUAUGCUCGACAUUUUUUGUGCAUUGAAGCCCAAUGAUGCUGCUUAAUUCAAGUGGCCAUUUUAAAUGGAAUGUGACCCGAUUUUGGCCUCUUGUGCACAUCUCGCGUUACUUAAAAACAUGCAUUUGAUAAAUGGUUGAGAUUGUGCCACUUGUUGCCGGCUAGACCAUUGGAUGCAAGUGACUUUUUAUAUACCCUGACUUCUUUUCCGAGGCAUAAUCGAUAGACUUCUAGGUUUCAAUGAGUCUUCUUCUCUAUUCGUCCUCUUUCU